GCGCCCGUAGCUCAGUCGGAUAGAGCACCCGCCCUCUAAGCGGGCGGUCGCUGGUUGCCAGGCGCA
rnacentral:tRNA from 1 species